GCGGCCUAUCAGCUUGUUGGUGGGGUAAUGGCCCACCAAGGCGACGACGGGUAGCCGGCCUGAGAGGGCGACCGGCCACACUGGGACUGAGACACGGCCCAGACUCCUACGGGAGGCAGCAGUGGGGAAUAUUGCGCAAUGGGCGGAAGCCUGACGCAGCGACGCCGCGUGAGGGAUGAAGGCCUUCGGGUCGUAAACCUCUUUCAGCAGGGAAGAAGCGAAAGUGACGGUACCUGCAGAAGAAGCACCGGCUAACUACGUGCCAGCAGCCGCGGUAAUACGUAGGGUGCAAGCGUUGUCCGGAAUUAUUGGGCGUAAAGAGCUCGUAGGCGGUCUGUCGCGUCUGCUGUGAAAACUCAGGGCUUAACCCUGAGCUUGCAGUGGGUACGGGCAGACUAGAGUGCGGUAGGGGAGACUGGAAUUCCUGGUGUAGCGGUGAAAUGCGCAGAUAUCAGGAGGAACACCGGUGGCGAAGGCGGGUCUCUGGGCCGUAACUGACGCUGAGGAGCGAAAGCAUGGGGAGCGAACAGGAUUAGAUACCCUGGUAGUCCAUGCCGUAAACGUUGGGCGCUAGGUGUGGGGACCUUUCCAUGGUUUCCGUGCCGCAGCUAACGCAUUAAGCGCCCCGCCUGGGGAGUACGG
rnacentral:rRNA from 1 species